ensembl:lncRNA
GAGCAGGUCCCGAAGAGGUGCUAGUUCUCUGGACACGGGUCCUCCACCUGGUCUCUACUGACACAGUGACACACACACGGACAGAGGCCUUCCUGCACACGGGACAGCACGCAGACCAGCGCCCUUACAGAAACAGAUCCUCUUUUGUUGCCAGUUCAGGGAGUCCAGGUGGUUGAACAUCAGAGUGUUUCAUCUUAUUUCCCUUUGGGGUUGCGAACCCUGAGGACAAAGUGGUGGAGAGAGAAGCAGGACAGGCAGAGGUGGCUUCAACUCAUUCACAGAGGAAAAGUGUCUCUCUUCUCCAACUGCAGCACCCACUAUGAAGGACGUGACAGCAAGACAAGGUAAGAUUGACACCAAGGAUCUUGACUAGGAGGACUACAAAGCUGGGGCUCCCUUGGAGAGAUGGAGAGGCCUUCCUACAGCACAUGUGUACCGCACACUUGGACCGCAGAAGCGUCAGAGGGCUCUGUUCAAGUAACUCGUGUUCAGUGAAUAAUGGUUCCAAAACCCAAGGGUAGGCGUGCAAAGGAGACGCUGG